AGUGUGUGUGUGUGUGAGUGUGUGCGUGUUGGUGGGCCCAGUUUUUUGGAUACUUCUUGCUCGGAUCGUUUUAAUCAUGGCACCAAAACCUGUCCGCUUCGCCAUCGCCGAAAAACUGCAUCCCCCAGCGUGCUGUCCCGUAAUCAAUUUGAAACUAAUUUAUGUGUCCGGUGUGUGUGUGUUUGAGAGGUGGUGGUGGUGAUGGUGGUGAUGAUGAUGGCGAUGAUAGUUGGGUUAGGACCCGCCGAAAGAGAUAAAUAGCAACCCCUACGCCGAUUUGGAUUAACUAAACCCAAAUGAAUAAUGCAAUUUUGGUUUUGCUUCGGGCCGUGGUGUGCCCGACCAGGAAGCGUAUACUGAUGAUAGCUGAUCGGUGAAUGAGCGUAAACUAGUGUACGUGUGUGUGUACGUGUGUGUGUGAGUGUAUUUCAAAAAGCAUUUUGUGAUGAAAUUUUAACCCGAUCCAUUUUAUUGGACUGUAAAACGAUUAAUUUUAUGAGACCAAAAGCGGAAAAACAAUUUCCCCGACCAGCUCCACCCAACCCCCAGCCAGCUCGACCGUUUAAAUGUGCAUUGCAGACUGCGCUUCGGGAACGAUUACCAUCGUAAUGGAAAGUUCGAAAUAACCCUUUGCGACUCCGCACGCGAACUUUUCCCCCAGACUCCCUGUCCCAGGAUGGUCCGAUUAUCCCUUCCAACAGGUUCGGGUGGAUGGUUCGUCGGCGGACUCAAUGAUGUUCCACCCUUCGCUGUCUGUCUGUCCCGUCUGUCGGGAGCAAUACUGGUGCGCGGAUGUGAAUGUUUUCGAUUACUUCACGGGGUAUCGUUAAUGUUUGACUUUUGGCCGCUGUUGGCGCGGUUCGGGCGAUAGCGCGCCGGGCGCUGGAAACUUCAACGGCCCGCAAACGGGGCCAUUAGGGCAGGAGGUUUGCUCUCUGUAGAAUCGUUUCAGAAUCACCACCGUUGAACCGUCGUUCGAUUUCUGUUCUGUGCUGGUGGUGAAGGAUAGUGGUUUUUCGGUGCUUUAUUUGCCUUUUCUUUCCUCGGUAACCUUGAACCGAUCGUCUACCGUCUGUAAUGAUUCGUGCUUCAUUCGUGCCCCGUGAUGGUUUGUCUGGUGCACGGGAAAAGAAAACACUCUGACACAGUCAAUAAAACAUUUUGUUUAGAUUGUAAAUUGUUGUUUAGCCGCUGCCCCAAACAGCUGGCUCGUGAUGAGUUGCAGCUUGUACGCUGGAUUGCGAGUGGUUUCAUUGAAUGUCUUUCCCACGGUUUUGAACUUUGAAGGUUGGAAGAACGCUGGCAUGCGUUUAUUUACUAUUGCUUUAAAGCAUCUAACGACAUGGAAAAUUAUAUUCAGCGUUUGAGCUGUUUAACCGCUGCUUAGCUGUGCCAACAAUUAAUUGGCUAUUUAUUGCUAAUCAUAGUGGGAUUUACUUGUCAUAAUUGACCAACACACUCGAAGUUGGUCCGUUGGCUAAAUCAUUUUCGCACGGUUGCUUACUUAUUGUACAAAUAUCGGAGAAAACUCAUAAAAAUGAAUAGAAAAAGCAGCUGCACUUAGAGAAGAAUCUUUAUCCUUCAAUGCCAUUUCUGGUUAUAUCCUUUACCCAGGCACAUGUAUGUCGCUUGGAAAGUCAACGAUGCAGGACUUUGAAAUAACAAACAAUAUAUGAACUUAUAUAUCUAAUGCUUGAUUGGAACGCUCCUUCCACUAAUAGAUGCUUCACCAACUCUUAAUAGUCCUCCACUUAUCCGAAACGUAUGAUUCUUAUUUUUUAAGUAAAUUUUUUAAGGGACUAACACACCUUCGCCAUGAAAAAGUGAUGAAAAAUGUAAAUAAUGAGCUAAAAAAUAUUACCAGGACCUUUUGCUGGGGCCAUUUCCAUCUUAUUGAAAACUAAAAACACCAUUAAAGAGCAUACAAGGAAUUAACGACUACAUUUACAGCACUUCCGCUCUUUAAGUGCUGUUUUAGAGAGUCUUGUGAAAACAUCAAUUAUAAAAUACAACUCAAACACAGCAAAGGAAAGUCAACACUUUCAAUCACAGCUGCAACUGAGGACCCAGCGUUUUAAGCAAUGCUUUGCAUAAUGUCCCCAUUCGAGAAGGUCUUCACAAGGACGUGCUUGAACCAUCUGACCUGUUUCGUUCCUUUUUUUUCUGUGCGCCGUGUUCUCGUACCCUUUUGCUUCUUCGUUAGUGGUUCAUUUAUGUACUAAUUGUGCAAUGGUUGACGAUCGGUUUCGUUUUGAUUAUUCGUCUCUUAUCGCUUUCUCGCCCGCAUUGUACUGCUUGCUCGGUCGGUACUAUCGUGGAAAGGUUAGCGUGAAAGACUCGUCACAACAGAGCCCUCCUGAUAAUGGAUUGAUGGUGUUAUGGGUGGGGUCGUUGAAUGAAGCGAGGGUUGCGAAAGAAAGCAUGCAGCAGCACGCAGAGCAGACGUCGUUCCUGGCGCUGGUGGUGAAGCAGGGCUGAAGUUCUCGCGGGGCAGGCAUCGCGGUUUGCGCUAAGGAUUCCUUGUUUAGCAUCGGUUUCAGCUCGUACGCUAAUCCAACCUGCUACUAAUCGCUGGCACGCUCAUGUUUCGCAAACCGCGGCACAUCAUGAAGCUGAACCGUAUCGUCUGCCUGUCAAGACGAUGCCAUAUUUCUUCUUUCGCCAAGAAAAAGAUGUACUACGAUUCGGGGGAGUUGAUCGAGACGAAGAUUUGGUGUGGCACCACCGCACCAGAAGACCUUGUGCUCCUGCUUUCCGGCCCGGUUGGAAAACUUUCACCAUCACCCUCGACGCUUCGUUAUUCCAAGAUCCGGUGAAAGAUGCUCGGGAGACGCUCGGGAUGCGCCCGAUGAGCAUGGAAGCAACUUCAUCAGCGACUGGCAGAUCAAAUUUCUUCAUCAGCCAGCCUUGCUAUGCCUCCCGCCCACCCGAAAAGCGAAAGGAUGCAUCCGGAGCAUAUUCCUCCCAUUUUUCGAUGGCACUCAGUGUGACAAGUUUUUCGAAGAGUUGGUCGCAAAGUUUCAUCCUCACCGGGGGAAAGCUGGUGAAGGGGUGGCUGCGACCGGAGGGAAGGAAACGCUGCACCACAGACGGAACGGGUGCAUGUAGUCAUUAUUUUCAUAUUCACCUCUAUUUGUGUACCGACCACGCAAACGCCAAGGGAAUCAAACCGUUCAAAUGGUACCGUGACCGCGAAACGCGAACACCACACCAGUGGUGUGGAACUUUACUGGUGUGGCUUUUUUUUUUGCUGUGCCACUCCAUCCUGGUUGGGGUUGAUAAAGUUGACUUUUUACAGGGGUUGUUUCACGGAAAUCAUGCUAUACUUGUAAUGUGAAAUUUUAAACAAGGGAAGAAAAUGUCAAAUUCAGGCUUCUCAGAAGAUUAUUUUGAGCUUGUGACGCCUGAAGUUAUGCAAUGGUGUGUUUCAAGCAGGGUCGUAUGAGAGUUUAUCAAUCGCUGAAGUUCUUUAGCAAAGAGAUUGUUCAUUGUUUUAAUAAAACAAAUAUUCAACUAUCUAUUUCGUGGAAAAAAGCUUGUUGUUAAUGAAUAUUGAAUAAAAUAAGCGAAAGUUCCUAAAUGUAUGCAAUUUAAAAUUUUGAAUUUUAAAAUAUUUAUUAUUACUUUACACUCUCCAUCAUAGUACAAAAAAAAUGCCUAUAAAUAAGCAAUGGGAUCAUAACUUAUCCCAAAAACCACUGCAGAUUUCAUUCUUCUCAGAGGACAACAAAAAAAAAA